UACAGAGGGUGCAAGCGUUGUUCGGAUUUACUGGGCGUAAAGGGCGUGUAGGCGGAUCUGUAAGCCGAUGGUGAAAUCCCCGGGCUCAACCCUGGGUGGUCUGUCGGAACUGCAGGUCUAGAGAAAGCCAGAGGCAGGUGGAAUUCCAGGUGUAGAGGUGAAAUGCGUAGAUAUCAGGAGGAACACCGGUGGCGAAGGCGGCCCUCUGGACGGUGACUGACGCUGAGACGCGAAAGCGUGGGGAGCAAACAGG
rnacentral:rRNA from 1 species